GAUGAACGCUGGCGGCGUGCCUAAUACAUGCAAGUCGAGCGAACAGAUAAGGAGCUUGCUCCUUUGACGUUAGCGGCGGACGGGUGAGUAACACGUGGAUAACCUACCUAUAAGACUGGGAUAACUUCGGGAAACCGGAGCUAAUACCGGAUAACAUAUUGAACCGCAUGGUUCAAUAGUGAAAGGCGGCUUUGCUGUCACUUAUAGAUGGAUCCGCGCCGUAUUAGCUAGUUGGUAAGGUAACGGCUUACCAAGGCAACGAUACGUAGCCGACCUGAGAGGGUGAUCGGCCACACUGGAACUGAGGCACGGUCCAGACUCCUACGGGAGGCAGCAGUAGGGAAUCUUCCGCAAUGGGCGAAAGCCUGACGGAGCAACGCCGCGUGAGUGAUGAAGGUCUUCGGAUCGUAAAACUCUGUUAUCAGGGAAGAACAAAUGUGUAAGUAACUGUGCACAUCUUGACGGUACCUGAUCAGAAAGCCACGGCUAACUACGUG
rnacentral:rRNA from 1 species